AUUGAACGCUGGCGGCAGGCUUAACACAUGCAAGUCGAGCGGGGUGAUGGUGCUUGCACUAUCACUUAGCGGCGGACGGGUGAGUAAUGCUUAGGAAUCUGCCUAUUAGUGGGGGACAACAUCUCGAAAGGGAUGCUAAUACCGCAUACGUCCUACGGGAGAAAGCAGGGGAUCACUUGUGACCUUGCGCUAAUAGAUGAGCCUAAGUCGGAUUAGCUAGUUGGGGGGGUAAAGGCCUACCAAGGCGACGAUCUGUAGCGGGUCUGAGAGGAAGGUCCCCCACACUGGGACUGAUACACGGCCCAGACUCCUCCGGGAGGCAGCGGUGGGGAAUAUUAGAGAAUGGGGGGAACCCUGAUCCAGCCAUGCCGCGUGUGUGAAGAAGGCCUUAUGGUUGUAAAGCACUUUAAGCGAGGAGGAGGCUCUUUUGGUUAAUACCCAAGAUGAGUGGACGUUACUCGCAGAAUAAGCACCGGCUAACUCUGUGCCAGCCGCCGCCGUAA
rnacentral:rRNA from 1 species